GAGAUCGGCGGAGUCGGCGGCCGAACCCAUUGGGAACUAUGGAAGAUAGUUCUCACCCCACUUCAUUAAAGGGCUGAGUGCGGGCGCGCCGAGCGAGGAUCGCGGCAAAGGCAUAGCGCCCGAGCAGUAGAUAGUCAGCUUUCCUUUUAUGCAUUAGAGUACCAUUUUGUAUCUAGAUGCUUUAUAUUUUGGGAGAGCCAC
rnacentral:lncRNA from 1 species